UCCUCAGACGAACUCUGGCUGCGUGCUUAACACAUGCAAGUCGAACGCUGAAGCCGACAGCUUGCUGUUGGUGGAUGAGUGGCGAACGGGUGAGUAACACGUGAGUAACCUGCCCCUGAUUUCGGGAUAAGCCUGGGAAACUGGGUCUAAUACCGGAUACGACCUCCUGACGCAUGUUGGGUGGUGGAAAGUUUUUCGAUCGGGGAUGGGCUCGCGGCCUAUCAGCUUGUUGGUGGGGUAAUGGCCUACCAAGGCGACGACGGGUAGCCGGCCUGAGAGGGCGACCGGCCACACUGGGACUGAGACACGGCCCAGACUCCUACGGGAGGCAGCAGUGGGGAAUAUUGCACAAUGGGGGAAACCCUGAUGCAGCGACGCAGCGUGCGGGAUGACGGCCUUCGGGUUGUAAACCGCUUUCAGCAGGGAAGAAGCGAAAGUGACGGUACCUGCAGAAGAAGUACCGGCUAACUACGUGCCAGCAGCCGCGGUAAUACGUAGGGUACGAGCGUUGUCCGGAAUUAUUGGGCGUAAAGAGCUCGUAGGUGGUUGGUCACGUCUGCUGUGGAAACGCAACGCUUAACGUUGCGCGUGCAGUGGGUACGGGCUGACUAGAGUGCAGUAGGGGAGUCUGGAAUUCCUGGUGUAGCGGUGAAAUGCGCAGAUAUCAGGAGGAACACCGGUGGCGAAGGCGGGACUCUGGGCUGUAACUGACACUGAGGAGCGAAAGCAUGGGGAGCGAACAGGAUUAGAUACCCUGGUAGUCCAUGCCGUAAACGUUGGGCACUAGGUGUGGGGGACAUUCCACGUUCUCCGCGCCGUAGCUAACGCAUUAAGUGCCCCGCCUGCAGACUACUGU
rnacentral:rRNA from 2 species